AACGUACUCGAGGACAGGUGCUGCAUGGCUGUCGUCAGCUCGUGUUGUGAAAUGUUGGGUUAAGUCCCGCAACGAGCGCAACCCUUAUCCUUUGUUGCCAGCGGUCCGGCCGGGAACUCAAAGGAGACUGCCAGUGAUAAACUGGAGGAAGGUGGGGAUGACGUCAAGUCAUCAUGGCCCUUACGAGUAGGGCUACACACGUGCUACAAUGGCGCAUACAAAGAGAAGCGACCUCGCGAGAGCAAGCGGACCUCAUAAAGUGCGUCGUAGUCCGGAUUGGAGUCUGCAACUCGACUCCAUGAAGUCGGAAUCGCUAGUAAUCGUGGAUCAGAAUGCCACGGUGAAUACGUUCCCGGGCCUUGUACACACCGCCCGUCACACCAUGGGAGUGGGUUGCAAAAGAAGUAGGUAGCUUAACCUUCGGGAGGGCGCUUACCACUUUGUGAUUCAUGACUGGGGUGAAGUCGUAACAAGGUAAGCGUAGUGCU
rnacentral:rRNA from 1 species